GACGAACCGUACGAACGUUAUUCGGAAUCACUGGGCUUAAAGGGUGCGUAGGCGGCGCGACAAGUUGGGUGUGAAAUCCCUCGGCUCAACCGAGGAACUGCGCCCAAAACUGUCGUGCUCGAGGGAGACAGAGGUGAGCGGAACUUAGGGUGGAGCGGUGAAAUGCGUUGAUAUCCUAAGGAACACCGGCGGCGAAAGCGGCUCACUGGGUCUCUUCUGACGCUGAGGCACGAAAGCUAGGGUAGCGAACGGG
rnacentral:rRNA from 1 species